rnacentral:hammerhead_ribozyme from 1 species
CUACUGCUGAGGAGUCCCACAAUAGGAUGAAACGACCGCCCAGUAC